UACCUGGUUGAUCCUGCCAGUAGUCAUAUGCUUGUCUCAAAGAUUAAGCCAUGCAAGUCUAAGUACGAGCUCUCGUACAGUGAAACUGCGAAUGGCUCAUUAAAUCAGUUAUGGUUCAUUUGAUCGUACAGUUUACUUGGAUAACUGUGGUAAUUCUAGAGCUAAUACAUGCGAGAAGCGCCGACCUCGCGGGAGGCGUGCAUUUAUCAGACCAAAAACCGGCCGCGUCUUCGGGCGCGUUCGCCUUGGGGACUCUGGAUAACUUUGCGGAUCGCGCGGUCUAGCACCGGCGACCGAUCAUUCAAGUGUCGGCCCUAUCAACUUUCGG
rnacentral:ncRNA from 1 species